rnacentral:rRNA from 1 species
GAAGCUUAGCUCUUGAUAGAGAUGUUUUGAAGAAAUUUAAUGGUUGAUUUGUGUGCGUGAAGUUAAAAGGUGUUUUAGUAUUAGAGUAAGAAGGAGUAUAUUAAAUUAUUAGUACUGUGAAGGAAACGAGAUCAUUUUGUGAAAAGAAAUAAUUGGUUUAUGUACCUUUUGCAUAAGGGAGGUUUUAAACAGGUUUUAUGAUAAUUUUCCCGAAGCAAUUAGAUGGGCUAUUUUAAUAAGAACCUACUGUUGCAUAAGUAAGUUGAAUUUUAAUUUAGUGAUGAUAUAUUAUUCAAAUAUUGAGAUAUCUGGUUCUUUCCUAGAGAAAUUUAGUUUAAUGGGCUUGAGGUUGAGCCUAGGGGGCCUUAUUGGGAUUAGCUAGUGGGGUGGGCUAUAUAUAUAGUAUUAUAUUGGGCUUAAGCUAGACUUAAAAGUGGUCUGGUGUCUAAAUGGUGUUAAAACCAAGAGGUAGGUUUAGAUUUAUUUUAUAUUUAUUAGCUUGAUAAGGAAGGAAGGCUUGUAAUUUUGAAGUAAGUUGAUAUAAUGGAUGUAUUAGUAGUUGAUUUUAAAGUGAUUAGAAUUAGGUUUGAAAUUAAUAUGAUUUAUGUUAUAAAGCAAGUUCUUCAAAGGAAUUCGGCAUAGUUUUGGGCUCUGCCUGUUUAUCAAAUACAUGGUUUUUUGUGGUUAAAUAAGAAAUCUGACCUGCUCACUGACGUGAUGUUAAAGGGCUGCAGUAUAUUGACUGUACAAAGGUAGCAUAAUCAUUAGUCUUUUGAUUGGGGACUGGAAUGAAAGGUUGGACGGAGUCAGACUGUCUCUGGAAAAUUGGUGUGAAAUUUUCUUUUCUGUGAAAAUGCAGAGAUGAAUUAAAGGGACGAGAAGACCCUAUUAAGCUUUAUAUUAAGGUUGGACUUGAUGAAAGGAAUUAAUUUGGGUCUUGAUUUAGUGUUUUGCUGGGGCGGCAAGAAUUUUGUAACAGUUAUGAAAUGUAAUGAUGGCGAUUGGCGUUGUGAAGUUUGAUCCGUAUUUUUACUBNNU